GACGAACGCUGGCGGCGUGCUUAACACAUGCAAGUCGAACGGAAAGGCCCUGCUUUUGUGGGGUGCUCGAGUGGCGAACGGGUGAGUAACACGUGAGUAACCUGCCCUUGACUUUGGGAUAACUUCAGGAAACUGGGGCUAAUACCGGAUAGGAGCUCCUGCUGCAUGGGGGGGGUUGGAAAGUUUCGGCGGUUGGGGAUGGACUCGCGGCUUAUCAGCUUGUUGGUGGGGUAGUGGCUUACCAAGGCUUUGACGGGUAGCCGGCCUGAGAGGGUGACCGGCCACAUUGGGACUGAGAUACGGCGCAGACGCCUACGGGAGGCAGCAGUGGGGAAUAUUGCACAAUGGGCGGAAGCCUGAUGCAGCAACGCCGCGUGCGUGAUGACGGCCUUCGGGUGGUAAACCGCUUUCGCCUGUGACGAAGCGUGAGUGACGGUAAUGGGUAAAGAAGCACCGGCUAACUACGUG
rnacentral:rRNA from 1 species